UUAAUUGGAGGCUUGUAUGAAUGGUUGGACAAAAAGCAAACUGUCUCAAUUAUAUUUAUUGAAUUUAACUUUUAAGUGAAAAGGCUUAAAUAAAUUAAGGGGACGAUAAGACCCUAUAAAGCUUUACAAUAAGUUACCUAUAUUAUAAAUUGUUAGUAUAACUUGAGUUUAGGUAACGUU
rnacentral:rRNA from 1 species